ACCAGUACCGUGAGGGAAAGGCGAAAAGAACCCCUGUGAGGGGAGUGAAAUAGAACCUGAAACCGUAUACGUACAAGCAGUGGGAGCAGACUUGUUCUGUGACUGCGUACCUUUUGUAUAAUGGGUCAGCGACUUAUAUUUAGUAGCAAGGUUAAGCGAAUAGCGGAGCCGUAGCGAAAGCGAGUGUUAACUGCGCGUUUAGUUGCUAGGUAUAGACCCGAAACCCGGUGAUCUAGCCAUGGGCAGGUUGAAGGUUGAGUAACAUCAACUGGAGGACCGAACCCACUAACGUUGAAAAGUUAGGGGAUGAGCUGUGGAUCGGAGUGAAAGGCUAAUCAAGCUCGGAGAUAGCUGGUUCUCCUCGAAAUCUAUUUAGGUAGAGCGUCGUGUCUUACCCUGGGGGGUAGAGCACUGUUUGGGCUAGGGGGUCAUCCCGACUUACCAACCCUUUGCAAACUCCGAAUACCAAUGAGAACUAUCCGGGAGACACACGGCGGGUGCUAACGUCCGUCGUGAAGAGGGAAACAACCCAGACCGCCAGCUAAGGUCCCAAAUACCAAUUAAGUGGGAAACGAUGUGGGAAGGCUUAGACAGCUAGGAGGUUGGCUUAGAAGCAGCCAUCCUUUAAAGAUAGCGUAACAGCUCACUGGUCUA
rnacentral:rRNA from 1 species